GAUGAACGCUAGCGACAGGCUUAACACAUGCAAGUCGAGGGGCAGCGAGGUGGUAGCAAUACCGCUGUCGGCGACCGGCGCACUGGUGAGUAACACGUAUGCGACCUGCCCCCUACAGGGGUAUAACCCGUAGAAAUGCGGACUAAUCCCCCAUAGUCCCGGAGGCUGCAUGGCCUCCGGGGGAAAGGGUUUCCGGUAGGGGAUGGGCAUGCGGCGCAUUAGCUAGUUGGCGGGGCAACGGCCCACCAAGGCGACGAUGCGUAGGGGUUCUGAGAGGAAGGUCCCCCACACUGGUACUGAGACACGGACCAGACUCCUACGGGAGGCAGCAGUGAGGAAUAUUGGUCAAUGGUCGGAAGACUGAACCAGCCAAGCCGCGUGAAGGAAGAAGGCCCUAUGGGUUGUAACCGCUUUUUCAGGGGGAUAAAGUGAGUGACGUGUCAUUCAUUGCAGGUACCCUGCGAAUAAGGACCGGCUAAUUCCGUG
rnacentral:rRNA from 1 species